GAUGAACGCUGGCGGCGUGCCUAAUACAUGCAAGUCGAGCGAACGGACGAGAAGCUUGCUUUUCUGAUGUUAGCGGCGGACGGGUGAGUAACACGUGGAUAACCUACCUAUAAGACUGGGAUAACUUCGGGAAACCGGAGCUAAUACCGGAUAAUAUUUUGAACCGCAUGGUUCAAAAGUGAAAGACGGUCUUGCUGUCACUUAUAGAUGGAUCCGCGCUGCAUUAGCUAGUUGGUAAGGUAACGGCUUACCAAGGCAACGAUGCAUAGCCGACCUGAGAGGGUGAUCGCCCACACUGGAACGGAGCCACGGCCCAGACUCCUACGGGAGGCAGCAGUAGGGAAUCUUCCGCAAUGGGCGAAAGCCUGACGGAGCAACGCCGCGUGAGUGAUGAAGGUCUUCGGAUCGUAAAACUCUGUUAUUAGGGAAGAACAUAUGUGUAAGUAACUGUGCACAUCGUGACGGUACCUAAUCAGAAAGCCACGGCUAACUACGUG
rnacentral:rRNA from 1 species